CAAAAGGUCCUUUUAAGGACCACCCACUUUCUCAGAAAAGGCUGU
rfam:Anolis carolinensis unplaced genomic scaffold chrTn0208, whole genome shotgun sequence.